GCCUAUAGCUCAGUUGGUUAGAGCACCUGACUCAUAAUCAGGUGGUCCCAGGUUCGAGCCCUGGUGGG
rnacentral:tRNA from 1 species